rnacentral:lncRNA from 1 species
AAAACACAAUAAGAGAGUGAGAAAACACUCAGGAGAAAAAAUCUCAGCUGCAAAACCCCUGAGUAACACUCCUAAACAAGAUUGGCUCGGUGCAGCCCCGGAUCCUGAGGCGCUGGGAAGAGGCAGCUCAGAGAAUCCCCCGUCAGUGACUGGGGUUUGAUUUACUCCUCAGAGCCAGGCAGAGCUCUCUGCUCUGCCAGCUCUGUCCUCCACCCCCGAGAGGGGCGGCUGCUCCUGCCAUGCCCGUGUGGGCAGGGGGUGCUGAGCCAGAGGGGCUGCAGCCCCCCGAGAUGUGACCCCUUUGUGCUGCUCCAGCCACAGCACGGGGCUCUGAUCCCCCGGGGGAUUUCUCCAGCGCUAAUUGACCCUGCACAGAGCCCAGCCCGCUCUCCAGCAGCAGCAGCAGCAGCAGCCUCAGCAUCCCCGCGGCUCCCGCAGCAGCAGCAGCGGCUCCCCCCGAGCCAAUGCCACCCCUACCCAAUGAAGCAGACCCCGAGGUGCCACGGAUGGAUCCCAGGAUUCUCAUUUUCCUCCUCUACGUGAUGAUCCUGCACGAGCUGGUCAGCGGCUGGAUGGAGUACCAGAAGCAGAUGGCCAAGCCAAAGAAGCAGGCAGGUCCGGUGUGGUCCUCCAGCAGCAGCAGCAGAUCAGCCUCCUCCAGCUUCUCCAGGCCGCUGGUGCACUCCGUGCGCAGGGAGAGGAACCGGGACUGGAGGAAAGCGGGAAGGAUCAUCAGGAAAGCCUGAAGGAUCGUCAGGAAAGCCUGAAGGAUCGUCAGGAAAGCCUGAAGGAUCAUCAGGAAAGCCUGAAGGAUCAUCAGGAAAGCCUGAGCAUGGAUCUGCUGCUGGGCCAGAGGAACCUGCAGACCUCACACACGGACAGCAUCCUCCAGAAACCUGCAGCUCAGAAGGACCGAGCCUCUUCCAGCUGGGAAUUUAUCCCUGCCUGGGGAGGAGCCACCACGCAGCGGUGGAAUAGCCCGAGGUGGGACUUUUGUCACCCAACACCACGAAGUGACUUUUCUUCCUUCUUCCCCGAGGGCUGAAUGGAUGGAGAACAGAUUUCCCAAGGAAAAAGCAGAAUUUGGUCCUGCAUGGGCAGCCCUGGGAAGACUCUCAGUGCUUUCAGCCUCCUCCAGCUCCAGGACUGUGUGGCCACUCAGCAUCAUUCCCCAAAGUGACUGGAAAACCUUCAGUGCCCUGUUUGUCACCACUCCCAGGAGGAGCUGCCUCCCCAGGGACACUUUGGGAACUCUGGCUCCCUGUUAAGGCUCCUGCACCAAACGCCUGCCAAUUUCUUCUCUGCUUUUCCCCACCUUUGUUAAAUAAGUUGCUCCGGGGAAGAGGAGGGAAAAUGCCCUGAACCAGUGACUCACAGUUAUAUCACCAAAUGCAAUUUACUGCCAUGGCCUUGUAAUUAGCAUUUUUGGAAACUUCCCAGCGGCUCAGGCAAAUAAAUGUAAAAGCCACUUUCUGAGGAGCA